rnacentral:rRNA from 1 species
AGACCCGAAACCCGGUGAUCUAGCCAUGGGCAGGUUGAAGGUUGGGUAACACUAACUGGAGGACCGAACCGACUAAUGUUGAAAAAUUAGCGGAUGACCUGUGGCUGGGGGUGAAAGGCCAAUCAAACCGGGAGAUAGCUGGUUCUCCCCGAAAGCUAUUUAGGUAGCGCCUCGUGAAUUCAUCUCCGGGGGUAGAGCACUGUUUCGGCUAGGGGGCCAUCCCGGCUUACCAACCCGAUGCAAACUGCGAAUACCGGAGAAUGUUAUCACGGGAGACACACGGCGGGUGCUAACGUCCGUCGUGAAGAGGGAAACAACCCAGACCGCCAGCUAAGGUCCCAAAGUCAUGGUUAAGUGGGAAACGAUGUGGGAAGGCCCAGACAGCCAGGAUGUUGGCUUAGAAGCAGCCAUCAUUUAAAGAAAGCGUAAUAGCUCACUGGUCGAGUCGGCCUGCGCGGAAGAUGUAACGGGGCUAAACCAUGCACCGAAGCUGCGGCAGCGACGCUUAUGCGUUGUUGGGUAGGGGAGCGUUCUGUAAGCCUGUGAAGGUGUGUCGUGAGGCAUGCUGGAGGUAUCAGAAGUGCGAAUGCUGACAUAAGUAACGAUAAAGCGGGUGAAAAGCCCGCUCGCCGGAAGACCAAGGGUUCCUGUCCAACGUUAAUCGGGGCAGGGUGAGUCGACCCCUAAGGCGAGGCCGAAAGGCGUAGUCGAUGGGAAACGGGUUAAUAUUCCCGUACUUGGUGUUACUGCGAAGGGGGGACGGAGAAGGCUAUGUUGGCCGGGCGACGGUUGUCCCGGUUUAAGCGUGUAGGUGUGUGUUCCAGGUAAAUCCGGUUCACUUUAACACUGAGGCGUGAUGACGAGGCACUACGGUGCUGAAGUAACAAAUGCCCUGCUUCCAGGAAAAGCCUCUAAGCAUCAGGUAACAUCAAAUCGUACCCCAAACCGACACAGGUGGUCAGGUAGAGAAUACCAAGGCGCUUGAGAGAACUCGGGUGAAGGAACUAGGCAAAAUGGUGCCGUAACUUCGGGAGAAGGCACGCUGACACGUAGGUGAAGUGAUUUACUCACGGAGCUGAAGUCAGUCGAAGAUACCAGCUGGCUGCAACUGUUUAUUAAAAACACAGCACUGUGCAAACACGAAAGUGGACGUAUACGGUGUGACGCCUGCCCGGUGCCGGAAGGUUAAUUGAUGGGGUCAGCGCAAGCGAAGCUCCUGAUCGAAGCCCCGGUAAACGGCGGCCGUAACUAUAACGGUCCUAAGGUAGCGAAAUUCCUUGUCGGGUAAGUUCCGACCUGCACGAAUGGCGUAAUGAUGGCCAGGCUGUCUCCACCCGAGACUCAGUGAAAUUGAACUCGCUGUGAAGAUGCAGUGUACCCGCGGCAAGACGGAAAGACCCCGUGAACCUUUACUAUAGCUUGACACUGAACAUUGAGCCUUGAUGUGUAGGAUAGGUGGGAGGCUUUGAAGUGUGGACGCCAGUCUGCAUGGAGCCGACCUUGAAAUACCACCCUUUAAUGUUUGAUGUUCUAACGUGGACCCGUUACCCGGGUUGCGGACAGUGUCUGGUGGGUAGUUUGACUGGGGCGGUCUCCUCCUAAAGAGUAACGGAGGAGCACGAAGGUUGGCUAAUCCUGGUCGGACAUCAGGAGGUUAGUGCAAUGGCAUAAGCCAGCUUGACUGCGAGCGUGACGGCGCGAGCAGGUGCGAAAGCAGGUCAUAGUGAUCCGGUGGUUCUGAAUGGAAGGGCCAUCGCUCAACGGAUAAAAGGUACUCCGGGGAUAACAGGCUGAUACCGCCCAAGAGUUCAUAUCGACGGCGGUGUUUGGCACCUCGAUGUCG